AUUGACUGGGAGGCCUCCCCGGAGCAAAAACAUCAGUGCCGGCUCAAGGGAAAAGACAAUAAGACAGAGUGUUUUAAUCACAUCCGCCUUCUCCAGAGGUUCAACUCAACUCAUCUCUACACGUGUGGUACUAAUGCCUACAGACCCCUCUGUGCAUACAUAGACGUGGAGAGAUUUGUGAUUUCAUCUCAGCCUGAAGAAGGCAGAGACAAAUGCCCCUACGGCCCCACAACAGGUUACACUGCCCUCAUUAUAGACCAGCAGAUAUACACAGCUUCCCAGUAUGAGUUUAGGAGCUUUCCAGAUAUCCGCCGAAACUCUCCGUCUCCCACGCUGAAGACAGAAGAUGCUCCCACACGCUGGC